rnacentral:rRNA from 1 species
UCCUACGGGGGGCAGCAGUAGGGAAUUUUCGUCAAUGGACGCAAGCCUGAACGAGCAAUGCCGCGUGAACGAGGAAGGUCUUCGGAUCGUAAAGUUCUGUUGAAGGGGAAAAAGAGCGGAGAGAGGAAAUGGUCUCCGAUUGAUAUUACCCUUCGAGGAAGUCACGGCUAACUACGUGCCAGCAGCCGCGGUAAUACGUAGGUGGCGAGCGUUAUCCGGAAUGAUUGGGCGUAAAGGGUGCGUAGGCGGCCUGCUAAGUCUGGAGUGAAAGGUACCGGCUCAACCGGUACAGGCUCUGGAAACUG